GAUGAAGAACGUAGCGAAAUGCGAUAAGUAGUGUGAAUUGCAGAAUUCAGUGAAUCAUCGAAUCUUUGAACGCACAUUGCGCCCCUUGGUAUCCCGAGGGGCAUGCCUGUUCGAGCGUCAUUUCACCACUCAAGCCUGGCUUGGUGUUGGGCGACGCCCCCUUUGGGGACGCGCCUCGAAACGCUCGGCGGCGUGGCACCGGCUUUAAGCGUAGCAGAAUCUUUCGCUUUGGAAGUCGGGGCCCCGUCUGCCGGAAGACCUACUCGCAAGGUUGACCUCGGAUCAGGCAGGGAUACCCGCUGAACUUAAGCAUAUCAAUAAGCGGAGGA
rnacentral:misc_RNA from 1 species